rnacentral:rRNA from 1 species
AGAGUUUGAUCAUGGCUCAGAUUGAACGCUGGCGGCAGGCCUAACACAUGCAAGUCGAACGGUAACAGGAAACAGCUUGCUGUUUCGCUGACGAGUGGCGGACGGGUGAGUAAUGUCUGGGAAACUGCCUGAUGGAGGGGGAUAACUACUGGAAACGGUAGCUAAUACCGCAUAACGUCGCAAGACCAAAGAGGGGGACCCUCGGGCCUCUUGCCAUCGGAUGUGCCCAGAUGGGAUUAGCUUGUUGGUGGGGUAACGGCUCACCAAGGCGACGAUCCCUAGCUGGUCUGAGAGGAUGACCAGCCACACUGGAACUGAGACACGGUCCAGACUCCUACGGGAGGCAGCAGUGGGGAAUAUUGCACAAUGGGCGCAAGCCUGAUGCAGCCAUGCCGCGUGUAUGAAGAAGGCCUUCGGGUUGUAAAGUACUUUCAGCGGGGAGGAAGGGAGUAAAGUUAAUACCUUUGCUCAUUGACGUUACCCGCAGAAGAAGCACCGGCUAACUCCGUGCCAGCAGCCGCGGUAAUACGGAGGGUGCAAGCGUUAAUCGGAAUUACUGGGCGUAAAGCGCACGCAGGCGGUUUGUUAGUCAGAUGUGAAAUCCCCGGGCUCAACCUGGGAACUGCAUCUGAUACUGGCAAGCUUGAGUCUCGUAGAGGGGGGUAGAAUUCCAGGUGUAGCGGUGAAAUGCGUAGAGAUCUGGAGGAAUACCGGUGGCGAAGGCGGCCCCCUGGACGAAGACUGACGCUCAGGUGCGAAAGCGUGGGGAGCAAACAGGAUUAGAUACCCUGGUAGUCCACGCCGUAAACGAUGUCGACUUGGAGGUUGUGCCCUUGAGGCGUGGCUUCCGGAGCUAACGCGUUAAGUCGACCGCCUGGGGAGUACGGCCGCAAGGUUAAAACUCAAAUGAAUUGACGGGGGCCCGCACAAGCGGUGGAGCAUGUGGUUUAAUUCGAUGCAACGCGAAGAACCUUACCUGGUCUUGACAUCCACGGAAGUUUUCAGAGAUGAGAAUGUGCCUUCGGGAACCGUGAGACAGGUGCUGCAUGGCUGUCGUCAGCUCGUGUUGUGAAAUGUUGGGUUAAGUCCCGCAACGAGCGCAACCCUUAUCCUUUGUUGCCAGCGGUCCGGCCGGGAACUCAAAGGAGACUGCCAGUGAUAAACUGGAGGAAGGUGGGGAUGACGUCAAGUCAUCAUGGCCCUUACGACCAGGGCUACACACGUGCUACAAUGGCGCAUACAAAGAGAAGCGACCUCGCGAGAGCAAGCGGACCUCAUAAAGUGCGUCGUAGUCCGGAUUGGAGUCUGCAACUCGACUCCAUGAAGUCGGAAUCGCUAGUAAUCGUGGAUCAGAAUGCCACGGUGAAUACGUUCCCGGGCCUUGUACACACCGCCCGUCACACCAUGGGAGUGGGUUGCAAAAGAAGUAGGUAGCUUAACCUUCGGGAGGGCGCUUACCACUUUGUGAUUCAUGACUGGGGUGAAGUCGAAACAAGGUA